rnacentral:lncRNA from 1 species
AUGCUGCAAUGGGACAAAGAACGUUGGCUCCCGCUGUGGCUUUCCAUCUGCAAUAGGACCAAGUUUGGAGGCGGCAGGAGAGGGCAAGAAGUGAUGACUUUAAAGCAAGAUUGAAAUUGUGACUGGAUGAGCAUGCUGAUUACUAAAAAGCCUGUGUUUUGCAUUUUUAAGUGACUGAAGAACUGUCUGCAUUACCUUCCAGUGACCAGAGAAGUAGUCUGUCAGUUUUCACCUAGCAAUCCACACAAGGAAGCUGAAUGAAUGCGGGUUCCAG